AACGAACGCUGGCGGCAUGCCUAACACAUGCAAGUCGAACGAGACCUUCGGGUCUAGUGGCGCACGGGUGCGUAACGCGUGGGAACCUGCCCUUAGGUUCGGAAUAACUCCCCGAAAGGGGUGCUAAUACCGGAUAAUGUCUUCGGACCAAAGAUUUAUCGCCUUUGGAUGGGCCCGCGUUGGAUUAGCUAGUUGGUAGGGUAAAAGCCUACCAAGGCGACGAUCCAUAGCUGGUCUGAGAGGAUGAUCAGCCACACUGGGACUGAGACACGGCCCAGACUCCUACGGGAGGCAGCAGUGGGGAAUAUUGGACAAGGGGCGAGAGGCUGAUCCAGCAAUGCCGCGUGAGUGAUGAAGGCCUUAGGGUUGUAAAGCUCUUUUGCCCGGGAUGAUAAUGACAGUACCGGGAGAAUAAGCUCCGGCUAACUCCGUG
rnacentral:rRNA from 1 species